CCUACGGGUGGCAGCAGUGAGGAAUAUUGGUCAAUGGCCGGGAGGCUGAACCAGCCAAGUCGCGUGAGGGAAGACGGCCCUACGGGUUGUAAACCUCUUUUGUCAGGGAGCAAGGUACAGGUCGGGACCUGCUGUGAGAGUACCUGACGAACAAGCAUCGGCUAACUCCGUGCCAGCAGCCGCGGUCAUACGUAGGAUCCGAGCAUUAUCCGGAGUGACUGGGUGUAAAGAGUUGCGUAGGUGUCAUAAUAAGUAGCUAGUGAAAUCUGGUGGCUCAACCAUUCAGACUAUUAGCUAAACUGUUAAGCUCGAGAGCGUUAGGAGUAACUGGAAUGUCUAGUGUAGGAGUGAAAUCCGUAGAUAUUAGAAGGAACACCAAUAGCGUAGGCAGGUUACUGGGACGGAUCUGACACUAAGGCACGAAAGCGUAGGGAGCAAACGGGAUUAGAUACCCUAGUAGUC
rnacentral:rRNA from 1 species